UAGUAGACACGGGGUUUCACCAUGUUGGCCAGGCCGGUCUUGAACUUGUGACGUCAGGUGAUGCACCCGCCUUGGCCUCCCAAAGUGCUGGGAUUACAGGUCCAGAUUUUGAACAAAUCUCGCUAGAGAUUGAACAGAGCUGCGCCUGGAUCCCGCCACAGUGAGGAGACCUGAAGACCAGAGAAAACACAGCAAGCCCCUGGAUCCUCCUGGAAUCCCCGAUCCCUCUUGCUCCCUGGCAGAGUUUUCUAGUCCCUCUUACUUGAAGCAUGUCUUUCAGAGCCCGGCACCACCCAUCUUGAGUAUCUGGUGAGUUCUGUGGUCUGCAUGUCCAUGUUUGGGACAUUCUGGGAAGGGUGGCCCAGGCUGUGAUUUGCCAUCUACUGCAGGCUAUGGAUGGUAUUCAGAAGGGAGGGGAGAUGCUGUGUGCGUGUUCUGAAGGGUUUCCCACUAAACAGAUCAACCCUCUCCAUAACUAUUUGAUUUUUACUUUAUCUCCUCGUUGACUUCACAGUGUCAGUGCAGUUUGUGUAAACAUCUCUAUGGGGUGAUGCAUGCAGAUAAAUGUUUAUGUGAACAUAUAAAGUCUGCAUGUGUGGGUGAACACUCCACAUCAGGUCAUUGUCCAUCAUUACAUAUCUGUGGUGUCUGGCUCAUUCGUCUCGUUUUCUGUCAUUUUACCUACUUUUA
rnacentral:lncRNA from 1 species